CCAAAGGCCUCCCUCCACCGCCUCCUGUAAAAUUCUCUAUAAAUAGGGGCUCAAGGUCAAAAACAUAAUCUGAGCAAUAACUAUUAGCAAAGAAUUAUGUGGAAAUAACAAUUCCUACAGAGAAAAUUAAAACAAUUGAUUUUGUAGAAAUAAAGGAGAGAGAAUUUGCCGUCACAGCCCCAACACCUCAAACUUUAUUAAAGUGUGAAUAUGGCACUUCUGGGCCUUUAGCCUGGAUGUCUAGUUCUAGGCUAGUGUGAAUUUUUCUGGCUCAAUUAGAAAGGUUUGAGAGAUUUUAAAAAGUGUUUCUAAAUGAUAAUGUUACAUAAAUAUUCAUGAUUAUGCAGUCCUCUGAUAUCUGGACCAUUUAGAACUUUAUUCCAUUAAAUAAUGACUUUUUUUUUUUUGCUACAGGUGCCAUCCAUUAGUUAGUGACCAAUGACAUCCAUUAUGCAUGGCCAUAAAUAUUUAUCUAGUGCCUUAUGCCUGUACCAGAGAGGAUAGGGAAAGAGGAGUUACAAGGAAGCUUUUCUUCCACACCAGAUGACCAGUUUAACUGAAGAAAUAACUGGAUCCAUCUUCAGGUUCCCUUUUUUCCUGGGAUCUUGAUCUUUCAAGUCCUGAUUGCCCUGAAAGGCUCUGAGCUCCAGUUACUUUCUCCCCAGCCCAAUGAGAGAGAAGACUGUUGCAAGUUCUCGGUUACCACUUUCUGCUCAAUCUCCAUGCUCCCAUGCAGUGAAUCUGAAAAUAAUUUGCAAAGAAAAAGAACAAUUGAUUUAACUUCAUAAAACUUUGAAACUUCUUCCAAAAUAGUUCAAAUGAGUUAUAUCAGAAAUUCUAUCUAUGGAACUUCCCUGGUGGUGCAGUGGAUAAGAGUCUGCCUGCCAGUGCAGGGCAUAUGAGUUUGAGUCCUGGUCUGGGAAGAUUCCACAUGCCUGUGUUCCACAGCUACUGAGCCCUUGAGCCCUAGAGUGUGCACGCUGGAACUGCUGAGUCUGUGCGCUGCAACUACUGAAGCAUGUGUGCCUACAGCGCAUGUUCCACAAUAAAAGAAUCCCAUAGGAGGCUCAAUAAGAAGCUUGCUCUCUGCAACUAGAGAGCAACCCCUGCUUGCUGCAACUAGAGAAAGUCCGCCCAAAGCAUCAAAGACCCAGUGUGGCCAAAAAUUUAGAAAUGUAAAUAAAUAAAUAAAAAUUUAAAGAAAUUGUAUCUGUUUUUCUAAAUUUUAUUCAUCCUUUCUAUAGUAUA
rnacentral:lncRNA from 1 species